GUUCUAGCUCGAUCUGUUCUAUCUUGUUUGGUAUUGUGAACGCCUUUGAAUGUCAUCACCCCCCCAUUAUGUGUGUGUUCCUGGUUAUCCUUGGUUCAUUAAAGACUGUUGAUGGUUCUCCUGCGGCUCCUUGCUCAAACACAAUAGAAGUGUGACCGCAACAACAUGUCAUGACGCUGCUAUGCCAAUUUUUCUCUAUUUGCUUCUCUGUUUCUGCCAUGGGAUAGACGUUCCUUACAAAGAUCUAAAGUGACUGAACAUGUGAGAAGAGAUGAUGCCAACCCCUCAGAGGUUCUCAGAUGAUGACAACCCUAACAUACUGUUAUAGUGUUAGUUAAUUAAAUAUAGUUAAUUAAAUGUA